AUACGUAGGGGGCAAGCGUUAUUCGGAAUCACUGGGCGUAAAGGACGCGUAGGCGGGUUGGCAAGUCAGAUGUGAAAUCCUACAGCUUAACUGUAGAACUGCAUUUGAAACUGCUAACCUAGAGUAUGGGAGGGGGAGAUGGAAUUAGUGGUGUAGGGGUAAAAUCCGUAGAUAUCACUAGGAAUACCGAAAGCGAAGGCGAUCUCCUGGAACAUAACUGACGCUAAGGCGUGAAAGCGUGGGGAGCAAACAGGAUUAGAAACCCGAGUAGUCC
rnacentral:rRNA from 1 species